UACGUAGGUGGCAAGCGUUGUCCGGAUUUACUGGGCGUAAAGAGCGCGCAGGCGGUCGUUCAAGUCGCGUGUGAAAGCCCCCGGCUCAACUGGGGAGGGUCACGCGAUACUGAUCGACUGGAAGGCAGGAGAGGGUAGUGGAAUUCCCGGUGUAGCGGUGAAAUGCGUAGAUAUCAGGAGGAACACCUGCGGUGUAGACGGCUUACUGGACCAUAACUGACGCUGAGGCACGAAAGCGUGGGUAGCAAACAGG
rnacentral:rRNA from 1 species